rnacentral:rRNA from 1 species
AGGGUUUGAUUAUGGCUCAGGAUGAACGCUAGCUACAGGCUUAACACAUGCAAGUCGAGGGGAAACGACAUCGAAAGCUUGCUUUUGAUGGGCGUCGACCGGCGCACGGGUGAGUAACGCGUAUCCAACCUGCCCAUCACUUGGGAAUAACCUUGCGAAAGUAAGACUAAUACCCAAUGAUAUCCCACGAAGGCAUCCGAAUGGGAUUAAAGAUUUAUCGGUGAUGGAUGGGGAUGCGUCUGAUUAGCUUGUUGGCGGGGUAACGGCCCACCAAGGCAACGAUCAGUAGGGGUUCUGAGAGGAAGGUCCCCCACAUUGGAACUGAGACACGGUCCAA